rnacentral:rRNA from 1 species
AAUCAACGCUGGCGGCGUGCCUCAGACAUGCAAGUCGAACGAUUAAAGCUCUCUUCGGAGAGUGUAUAGAGUGGCGCACGGGUGAGUAACACGCAAGUAAUCUACCUUUGAGUGGGGAAUAACAGUCGGAAACGACUGCUAAUACCGCAUAAUGCAGCGGCACCGCGAGGUGACAGUUGUUAAAGGAGCAAUUCGCUUAAAGAGGAGCUUGCGGCAGAUUAGCUUGUUGGUAAGGUAACGGCUUACCAAGGCUACGAUCUGUAUCCGGUCUUAGAGGACGGUCGGACACACUGACACUGAAUAACGGGUCAGACUCCUACGGGAGGCAGCAGUCGGGAAUUUUGGGCAAUGGGCGAAAGCCUGACCCAGCAACGCCGCGUGAAGGAUGAAGUAUUUCGGUAUGUAAACUUCGAAAGAAUAGGAAGAAUAAAUGACGGUACUAUUUAUAAGGUCCGGCUAACUACGUGCCAGCCGCCGC